CAUUUGCCAAGGAUGUUUUCAU
rnacentral:siRNA from 1 species